GACGAACGCUGGCGGCGUGCCUAACACAUGCAAGUCAACGAGAAAAGGGUAGCAAUAUCCUGAGUAAAGUGGCGCACGGGUGAGUAACACGUAGGUAAUCUGCCAUUAGGACGGGGACAACCACGCGAAAGCGUGGCUAAUACCCGAUGAAUCAGCGGCGCCGCAUGGCGUUGUUGUUAAAUACCGCAAGGUGCCUGGUGAUGAACCUGCGUCCCAUUAGGUAGUUGGUGAGGUAACGGCUCACCAAGCCGACGAUGGGUAGCUGGUCUGAGAGGAUGAUCAGCCACACUGGAACUGAGACACGGUCCAGACUCCUACGGGA
rnacentral:rRNA from 1 species